GUUGCCCAUGUGGUGACAACCAAAGAAGUGCGGACGGAAGGUUGCUUUGAGCGUUGGCCACAGUCGUGCGCUCUGCACAGCGCCAUCUACAGACACGGAGGAUUGGCAGUCCAAAGCAGAGCCUUCGGUGUAAAUAAGUGAAUGGGAGACCAGAGAAGGCUGAAUUCCCGAUGGACUGCCCUGCUCAGGAUGUCAAAGAUCUGUUCCGCUCUGCAGCCGAGGCAGGACCCCAUGACAUCCUGAAGCUGUACAACCCCAAAGGCAACAUCAUCAACAUCUCCCCGAGUCUGGAGCCCAACAGCCCAAACUCCUGCUACAAGCUGGAGGUGGUGGCC